rnacentral:rRNA from 1 species
UACGAAGGGGGCUAGCGUUGCUCGGAAUCACUGGGCGUAAAGGGUGCGUAGGCGGGUCUUUAAGUCAGGGGUGAAAUCCUGGAGCUCAACUCCAGAACUGCCUUUGAUACUGAGGAUCUUGAGUUCGGGAGAGGAGAGUGGAACUGCGAGUGUAGAGGUGAAAUUCGUAGAUAUUCGCAAGAACACCAGUGGCGAAGGCGGCUCACUGGCCCGAUACUGACGCUGAGGCACGAAAGCGUGGGGAGCAAACAGG